rnacentral:rRNA from 1 species
GACGAACGCUGGCGGCGUGCCUAAUACAUGCAAGUAGGACGCAGUUGAGAACGGGUGAGUAACGCGUAGGUAACUGCCUAUUAGAGGGGGAUAACUAUUGGAAACGAUAGCUAAUACCGCAUACUAGUAGAUGGACCUGCGUUGUAUUAGCUAGUAGGUAGGGUAAUGGACUACCUAGGCAACGAUACAUAGCCGACCUGGGAGGGGGAUCGGCCAAACUGGGACUGAGAAAAGGGCCAAACUCCUACAGGAAGCAGCAGUAGGGAAACAUCGGCAAUGGGGGGAAACCGGAACGAAGAACGCCGCGUGAGUGAAGAAGGAUUUCGGAACGUGAAGCUCUGUUGUGCAGGAGGCGGUACUUAACCAGAAGGGGACGGCUAACUAAGUGCCAGCAGCCGCGGUAAUUC